GCCUUGAUGGUGAUAUGGUAGACAUGCGAGACUCAAAAUCUCGUGCUGAAGAGCGUGGAGGUUCGAGUCCUCUUCAAGGCA
rnacentral:tRNA from 1 species